rnacentral:rRNA from 1 species
UACGAGGGGGGCAAGCGUUGUUCGGAUUCACUGGGCGUAAAGGGUGCGUAGGCGGUGAGGUAAGUCGGAUGUGAAAGCUCGGAGCUCAACUCCGAAAUGGCAUUGGAAACUACCUUGCUCGAGGGUUGGAGGGGGGACUGGAAUACUUGGUGUAGCAGUGAAAUGCGUAGAUAUCAAGUGGAACACCAGUGGCGAAGGCGGUCUCCUGGAGCAUACUUGACGCUGAGGCGCGAAAGCUGGGGGAGCGAACGGG